ensembl:lncRNA
AUCUGAAAAACCUAGAAAAGUUAAAGUUACACUACACACCAGGCUAUACAGCCUUUACCACCAGUACGAUUUGUUAGCAUCUCUCCAGCACUUCUGGACCGAGCUUUAAUGAGAAUGCAGUGUUACAACUACAAUAUGUAGCUUUUACUGACUUCUACCAAAUUGAAUGCAAGUAAUGGCAUAAAUCACCUCGUAAGAUUAACUGGCCACUUGUGAAAUUGCACAAAUGUCAGACAUUCACCCUGUGCCCAUACCAAUGAUAUUAACAGUUGGCACAUACAGUGGAAAAAUCCUGUCCUGUACUCAGGCAACUUCUUAGUUACCUAAAAUUAGGACCCUUUCGUCGCUGGUCCUAUAAGUAGCACAAACUCAGUAGCAAAAUUUCUUCUUGGUCGGGAACAUGGAACAUCCUGGUGGCGCCGUGUGUUAUUUGGUGAUCGCUCUAGUUAGGGCUAUAUCACACUAUACUACAAGGUGACCCGUACAGGAUGAGAAUAUCAUGAAACUAUUUGUUUCAUCUUAAUAUAUCGUCGUUUGAAAUGGUAAGCUUAAUGCUCACUUGUAGAUUCGAAACUGCUAGUAACGUAUAGAUUCCAAACUGCUACUACCCAGCUAUGCUAACUCUUACUUGGCUGCGCGGUGAUUUGAAAUGUGAAAUCCGCUGUGAUUGCCUUGUCGGCAAAUCUAACAGUUUUCAAUUAUGCAUUUAAUAAAUUAAUUGAAUUUCCAUAGUAACAAGAGAAUUUGCUACAUGGUGAGUUUACCCUAGAAUUGCCCUGUUUUAGAGAGGGCCCACGUGUUUGCCAUGCGGUGAAACAUUAGCCAGAUUCCAUUUGACCAAUCUAUAACGGUAGUAGUUUGCAGGCUAGGUAUGUAGCAGUUCGUAAUGUGUGUUAAAGGAUGACAGCACAAGACUAUAUAGUCUCUGAUACAGCAUGAUGGUCUUUCACAGUGCACUGAAAACGCAUGUUUAUACACCAACGAUUAUCACUGUAAUGUCACUUAUGAACGGUCAUCAGUGUUUCAACCUUCUUUCAGCAGUCUGCCGGGUAUGGAGGCUCUUGUGACUAUGGGCUCAAGCAAACCUUGGCAAAUUUUGUGCCCCCCUUAUCACCAGGCCUUCCACACACUCAACUGGUAAAGCCCAGUUACUGGACCUGGAGACCGGAUGUCUGUCUUUACAGUGGCUUGCAGGAGGGCAAGGUUCUUUCAUUUAAAGAUUGACUUGGAUGGAAUCAUGGUCUGUCUACAACCAAGCUAAAAGCUCCAGGUGUGAAGUUAUGAGGUGUUCCUGUACCUGGAAUGUGAUGUCGGUCUUUACAGGGGCUUGCAGGAGGGGAAGGUCCUUUCAUUUCAAGAUUGACUUGGAUGGAAUCAUGGUCUGUCUACGAUCCAAGCUAGAAGCUCCAGUUGUGAAGUCAUGAGGUGUUCCUGUAACUGAUGUCUGUCUUUACAGUGGCUUGCAGGAGGGGAAGGUCCUUUCAUUUUCAAGAUUGACUUGGAUGGAAUCAUGGUCAGUCUACGAUCAAGCUAGAAGCUCCAGUUGUGAAGUCAUGAGGUGUUGCUGUUAUGAAGAUCUACAUUAACUGCACUGGGACCCAACAACCUCCAAGACUCAUAAAUUCGAAAUAAAUUUCUUUAAAUUGAAUUGUGUGUGUGUGUGUUUUAACUGAAGUGGUGUUGGUUUGUAGAUUGUCCACUUAUGAUGCAGCUGCAGUAAACGCAGAACACAAGUGUUUUAUCUAAUGUUUUGUGACUCUCUUUGAAGCUUCUGCUAGAUACGUUGAUCAAUAUACAUUUCUGAUUCUGACAUAAGUAAUUGUUAUAGGCGGAUGUCUAAGAUUAUACGUUUAAAGUGUACAU